CAGUCGCCACGGUAAUACGUAGGUGGCAAGCGUUGUCCGGAAUUAUUGGGCGUAAAGGGCUCGCAGGCGGUUUCUUAAGUCUGAUGUGAAAGCCCCCGGCUCAACCGGGGAGGGUCAUUGGAAACUGGGAAACUUGAGUGCAGAAGAGGAGAGUGGAAUUCCACGUGUAGCGGUGAAAUGCGUAGAGAUGUGGAGGAACACCAGUGGCGAAGGCGACUCUCUGGUCUGUAACCGACGCUGAGGAGCGAAAGCGUGGGGAGCGAACAGGAUUAGAUACCCGGGUAGUCCCUGUCUCUUAUAC
rnacentral:rRNA from 1 species